rnacentral:rRNA from 1 species
GUAGGUGGCAAGCGUUGUCCGGAAUUAUUGGGCGUAAAGCGCGCGCAGGCGGUUCUUUAAGUCUGAUGUGAAAGCCCACGGCUCAACCGUGGAGGGUCAUUGGAAACUGGAGAACUUGAGUACAGAAGAGGAAAGCGGAAUUCCACGUGUAGCGGUGAAAUGCGUAGAGAUGUGGAGGAACACCAGUGGCGAAGGCGGCUUUCUGGUCCGUAACUGACGCUGAGGGGCGAAAGCGUGGGGAGCAAACAGGGAUUAGAUACCCUGGUAGUCCACGCCGUAAACGAUGAGUGCUAAGUGUUAGGGGGUUUCCCGCCCCUUAGUGCUGCAGCUAACGCAUUAAGCACUCCGCCUGGGGAGUACGGCCGCAAGGCUG